ensembl:lncRNA
GGGUGUUUUUUUUUUGGGGGGGGGGGGGGAAUUAAAUAAGAGAUAUAAAAUUAAAGGGGGAAAUUUACACAGUGCUGUUCUGGGGGGGUCCCAGAGUGGGGGGGGGGGAAAUGGGGAGGAAAUAGGGAGGAAGUGGGGGGGAAAUGGGGAGGAAGUGGGGGGGAAGUGGGGGGGUAAAUAGGGAGGGGGGGGAACUGGGGGGCAGAAGUGGGGGAGGGGAGGGAGGAGGAAGUGGGGGGGAAUGGCGGAAGUGGGGGGAGGGGAGGAAGUGGAGGCGGAAGUGGGGGGAAAUGGGGAAGUGGGGGGGAAAUGGAGGGGGAAAUGGGAGCAGAAGUGGGGGAGGGGGGCGGAAGUGGGAAAAGUGGGAGGAAGUGAGGGAAAUGAAGUGGGGGGGUGGGAGGGAGUGGGGGAAAUGGCGGAAGUGGGGGGGAGGGGAGGAAGUGGGGAGGAAGUGGAGGCGGAAGUGAGGGGGAAAUGGGGAAGCGGGGGGGAAAUGGAGGGGGAAAUGGAAUGGGAGCAGAAGUGGGGGAGGGGGCGGAAGUGGGGGGAAAACUGGGAGGAAGUGAGGGAAAUGAAGUGGGGGGAUGGGAGGAAGUGGGGAAAUGGGGGCGGAAGUGUGAGGGGAAAUGGGGAAAUAGGGGGGAAACGGAGGAGGAAAUGGGAACAGAAGUGGGAGAGGGGGGCGGAAGUGGGGAGGAAGUGGAGGCGGAAGUGAGGGGGAAAUGGGGUGGAAUUGGGGAGAAACGGGGGUGGAAAUGGGGGAGAGGAAAUGGAGGAAGGGAGGGGGAAGGGGGGGCGGAAGUGGGGGCGGAAGUCGGGGGAAAUGGGGCGGAAGUGGGGAGGAGGGGGAAAGGAGGGGGAAAAGGAGGAAAAAUGGGGUAAAAAACGGGGAAUUGGGGCAUUUCCGAGGGGGGGAUCCGCGUUUCCUGAGGAAAUAAUUUAGGGAAUUAAUUAAUUGGGGGGGGGGCAAAAGGACGACGACAAAAAAAGUGCUCCGGGGGGGGGGGGGGGGGGGAAGGGGGGGUCGUUUUGGGGGAUUUUGCACCGAAAAAAAUAUAUGGGGUCGUGCGGAGGGGGGGGGGGGGGGGGGGUGGAACGACCCCCCAACCCCAUUAUUGCCGUGGGGCGGAGAUGGAAGACCGCAAAGGGGGGGGGGGGGCGGCCCUAUAGGUGCCCCAUGUCCUAUAGGGUGCGCCUGGCCCUAUAGGGGCACUGCUGGCCCCAUAGGAAUGGUCCCGGCCCCACAGGAGUAGUCCUGGCCCUAUAGGAGCACUGCUGGGCAUCUAUGGGAGCUCCCGGCCCUAUAGGAGUGGUCCCAGCCCUAUAGAGACGCUCCUGGCCCCAUAUGGAUGCUUAUGGCCCCAUAGGACGCUCCUGGUCCUAUAUGGAUGCUUAUGGCCCCAUAGGACGCUCCUGGUCCUAUAGGAAUAUGUCCUUGGCCUUACAGAGAUGCUCCUGGUCCCAUAUAGAUCCUUUUGGUCCUACACAGAUGCUCUUGGUCCCAUAUAAACCCUCCUGGUCCCAUAUAGACCCCCCUGGUCCCAUAUAGCUGCUCCCAGUCCCACAUAGGCCCUCCUGGUCCCAUAUAGACCCCCCCGGUCCCAUAUAGCUGCUCCUGGUCCCAUACAGGCCCUCCUGGUCCAAUAUAGACCCCCCUGGUCCCAUAUGGACCCUUCUGGUCCCAUAUAGCUGCUCCCAGUCCCAUAUAGACACCACUGGUCCCAUAUAGCUGCUCCUGGUCCUAUAUGGGCCCUCCUGAUUCCAUAUAGACUCCCCUGGUCCCAUAUAGCUGUUCCUGGUCCCAUAUAGGCCCUCCUGGUCCCAUAUAGCUGCUCCUGGUCCCAUACGUGGGGCUCUGGGUGGGGUGGGGGGCUGUUCACCCCCCCCUCCCGCCCAUAUAGCUGCUCCCAGUCCCAUAUAGACACACCCGGUCCCAUAUAACCCCAUAGGAGCCCCAUGGGUGGGGGGGGGGGGUCUCCAUUUCCCCCCCUCCCCCCCACCCAUGGGUGCUCAGAGCUCCUUUUUGGGGGGGGGGGGGUGGCAGUAAAGCAGUGCAGCUUUGGUCCAUACGAACAGUCCCGGUCCCAUAGAAACCCCACAGGACCCCACAGAACCACUCUGGGCCUCAUAGGACCCCCAUAGGUUGGUUGGGUGGGGGGGUCUCCGUGCCCCCCACCCCCACCCAUGGGUGCUCAGAGCUCCUUUUUGGGGGGGGGUCACUGACAAAGCACUGCAGCUCCCGUCCGUAUCACCGCUCCCGGUCCCAUAGAAACCCCAUAGGACCACUCUGGGCCUCAUAGGACCCCCAUAGGUUGGUUGGGUGGGGGGGGUCUCCGUGCCCCCCCCCCCCACCCAUGGGUGCUCAGAGCUUCCUUUUUUGGGGGGGGGUUGGUGGCGAAGAGCCGUGCGAAGCGCCGGAGCUGCUCGCUGGCGCUCUGCGACUCCUCCUGCAGCCGCCGGUUGUCCUGGCGCAGAUCGGCCACCUCGGCCUGCAGCACCACUUUGUCGUGCUUCUCCUUUUGGGGGGGGGGGCACAUCUCAGAACAAACCCCCCCCCCCCACACACACACAUAACCCCC